CCUACGGGAGACAGCAGUGAGGAAUAUUGGUCAAUGGACGAGAGUCUGAACCAGCCAAGUAGCGUGAAGGAUGACUGCCCUAUGGGUUGUAAACUUCUUUUAUAUGGGAAUAAAAUGGUCCACGUGUGGGAUGUUGUAUGUACCAUAUGAAAAAGGAGCGGCUAACUCCGUGCGAGCCGCCGCGGUAAGACGGAGGAUCCGAGCGUUAUCCGGAUUGAUUGGGUUUAAAGGGAGCGUAGGUGGAUUGUUAAGUCAGUUGUGAAAGUUUGCGGCUCAACCGUAAAAUUGCAGUUGAAAAUGGCAGUCUUGAGUCCAGUAGAGGUGGGCGGAAUUCGUGGUGUAGCGGUGAAAUGCUGAGAUAUCACGAAGAACUCCGAUUGCGAAGGCAACUCACUGGACUGCAACUGACACUGAGGCUCGAAAGUGUGGGUAUCAAACAGGAUUAGAUACCCCAGUAGUC
rnacentral:rRNA from 1 species